GUUUUAAUAAUUUAAAUAAAAAUAUUAGUUUUGUAAACUAACUUUAAGAAUAUUCUUUUAAAACA
rnacentral:tRNA from 1 species